rnacentral:rRNA from 1 species
UACAGAGGGGCAAGCGUUGUUCGGAAUUACUGGCGUAAAGGGCGCGUAGGCGGCCCGCUAAGUCGAACGUGAAAUCCCCGAGCUCAACUCGGGAACUGCGUCCGAUACUGGCGGGCUUGAAUCCGGGAGAGGGAUGCGGAAUUCCAGGUGUAGCGGUGAAAUGCGUAGAUAUCGGGAGGAACACCAGUGGCGAAGGCGACUUCCUGGCCUGUUCUUGACGCUGAGGCGCGAAAGCUAGGGGAGCAAACGGGG